UACGUAGGGACCAAGCGUUGUCCGGAAUCAUUGGGCGUAAAGCGCGCGUAGGUGGCCAUUUAAGUCCGCUGUGAAAGUCAGAGGCUCAACCUUUGAAAGCCGGUGGAUACUGGAUGGCUAGAGUACGGAAGAGGCGAGUGGAAUUCCUGGUGUAGCGGUGGAAUGCGUAGAUAUCAGGAGGAACACCAAUAGCGAAGGCAGCUCGCUGGGACGUUACUGACACUAAGGCGCGAAAGCGUGGGGAGCGAACAGG
rnacentral:rRNA from 1 species